CCUACGGGUGGCAGCAGUGAGGAAUAUUGGUCAAUGGGCGAGAUCCUGAACCAGCCAAGCCGCGUGAGGGAAGACGGCCCUAUGGGUUGUAAACCUCUUUUGUCGGGGCACAAAACCCGGGACGUGUCCCGGACUGCGUGUAUCCGAAAAAAAAGCAUCGGCUAACUCCGGUCCAGCAGCCGCGGUAAUACGGGGGAGGCGAGCGGUAUCCGGAUUUAUUGGGUUUAAAGGGUGCGUAGGCGGUCCGUUAAGUCAGCGGUAAAAUUGCGGGGCUCAACCCCGUCGAGCCGUUGAAACUGGCAGACUUGAGUGGGCGAGAAGUACGCGGAAUGCGCGGUGUAGCGGUGAAAUGCAUAGAUAUCGCGCUGAACUCCGAUUGCGAAGGCAGCGUACCGGCGCCAGACUGACGCUGAGGCACGAAAGCGUGGGGAUCGAACAGGAUUAGAUACCCGGGUAGUC
rnacentral:rRNA from 1 species